UACGUAGGGUGCGAGCGUUGUCCGGAAUUAUUGGGCGUAAAGGGCGUGUAGGCGGGAAGGAAAGUCAGAUGUGAAAUCCCUGGGCUCAACCCAGGAACUGCAUUUGAAACUCCCUUUCUUGAGUGUCGGAGAGGAAAGUGGAAUUCCUGGUGUAGAGGUGAAAUUCGUAGAUAUCAGGAGGAACACCGGUGGCGAAGGCGGCUUUCUGGACGACAACUGACGCUGAGACGCGAAAGCGUGGGGAGCAAACAGG
rnacentral:rRNA from 1 species